CGCGGGGUGGAGCAGUCUGGUAGCUCGUCGGGCUCAUAACCCGGAGGUCGUAGGUUCAAAUCCUACCCCCGCAACCA
rnacentral:tRNA from 1 species